ACACGACUACAUUAGAUACCCCGGUAGUCCUAGCCGUAAACGAUACUCGCUAGGUGUCGGCCACGGUGCGACCGUUGUCGGUGCCGUAGGGAGGCCGUGAAGCGAGCCACCUGGGAAGUACGGCCGCAAGGCUGAAACUUAAAGGAAUUGGCGGGGGAGCACAACAACGGGUGGAGCUUGCGGUUUAAUUGGAUUCAACGCCGGAAAUCUUACCGGGACCGACAGCAACAUGAAGGCCAAGCUGAAGGCUUUGCCGGAUUAGCUG
rnacentral:rRNA from 1 species